AUUGAACGCUGGCGGCAUGCUUUACACAUGCAAGUCGAACGGUAGAGGGGGCAACCCCUUGAGAGUGGCGAACGGGUGAGUAAUGCAUCGGAACGUGCCCAGUCGUGGGGGAUAACGCAGCGAAAGCUGUGCUAAUACCGCAUACGAUCUCUGGAUGAAAGCGGGGGACCGAAAGGCCUCGCGCGAUUGGAGCGGCCGGUGUCAGAUUAGGCAGUUGGUGGGGUAAAGGCGCACCAAGCCAACGAUCUGUAGCUGGUCUGAGAGGAAGACCAGCGACAGUGGGACUGAGACACGGCCCAGGCUCCUACGGGAGGCAGCGUUGGGGAAUUUUGGACAAUGGGCGCAAGCCUGAUCCAGCAAUGCCGCGUGCAGGAAGAAGGCCUUCGGGUUGUAAACUGCUUUUGUACGGAACGAAAAGGUCUGGGUUAAUACCCUGGGCACAUGACGGUACCGUAAGAAUAAGCACCGGCUAACUACGUGCCAGCCGCCACCGUAA
rnacentral:rRNA from 1 species